rnacentral:rRNA from 1 species
UCGGGAAUUUUGGGGCAAUGGGCGAAAGCCUGACCCAGCAACGCCGCGUGAAGGAUGAAGUAUUUCGGUAUGUAAACUUCGAAAGAAUAGGAAGAAUAAAUGACGGUACUAUUUAUAAGGUCCGGCUAACUACGUGCCAGCAGCCGCGGUAAUACGUAGGGACCAAGCGUUGUUCGGAUUUACUGGGCGUAAAGGGCGCGUAGGCGGCAAUUCAAGUCAUCUGUGAAAUCUCCGGGCUUAACUCGGAACGGUCAGAUGAUACUGCUUUGCUAGAGUGCAGAAGGGGCAAUCGGAAUUCUUGGUGUAGCGGUGAAAUGCGUAGAUAUCAAGAGGAACACCUGAGGUGAAGACGGGUUGCUGGGCUGACACUGACGCUGAGGCGCGAAAGCCAGGGGAGCAAACGGGAUUAGAUACCCUGGUAGUCCCUGAGCGGGCUGGCAAGGCGCAU